ACGAAGGUGGCAAGCGUUGUUCGGUAUCACUGGGCUUAAAGCGUGUGUAGGCGGGAACGUAAGCAUUUUGUGAAAUCCCCCGGCUUAACCGGGGAAUUGCUUGAUGUACUGCGUUUCUUGAGGCAGGUAGGGGUGCGCGGAACUCUUGGUGGAGCGGUGGAAUGCGUAGAUAUCAAGAGGAACGCCGAUGGUGAAGACAGUGCACUAGGCCUGUCCUGACGCUGAGACACGAAAGCGUGGGGAGCGAACGG
rnacentral:rRNA from 1 species